AACGUAGGAGACGAACGUUAUCCGGAGUUACUGGGCGUAAAGGGCGUGUAGGCGGUAUGUUAAGUCUGGCGUGAAAGCUCUCGGCUAAACCGGGAGAGGUCGUUGGAUACUGGCACACUAGAGGAUGGUAGAGGCGUGUGGAAUUCCGGGUGUAGUGGUGAAAUGCGUAGAUAUCGGGAGGAACACCAGUGGCGAAGGCGACUACCUGGCCUGUUCUUGACGCUGAGGCGCGAAAAGCUAGGGGAGCAAACGGG
rnacentral:rRNA from 1 species